GACGAACGCUGGCGGCGUGCCUAAUACAUGCAAGUCGAACGAACUCUGGUAUUGAUUGGUGCUUGCAUCAUGAUUUACAUUUGAGUGAGUGGCGAACUGGUGAGUAACACGUGGGAAACCUGCCCAGAAGCGGGGGAUAACACCUGGAAACAGAUGCUAAUACCGCAUAACAACUUGGACCGCAUGGUCCGAGUUUGAAAGAUGGCUUCGGCUAUCACUUUUGGAUGGUCCCGCGGCGUAUUAGCUAGAUGGUGAGGUAACGGCUCACCAUGGCAAUGAUACGUAGCCGACCUGAGAGGGUAAUCGGCCACAUUGGGACUGAGACACGGCCCAAACUCCUACGGGAGGCAGCAGUAGGGAAUCUUCCACAAUGGACGAAAGUCUGAUGGAGCAACGCCGCGUGAGUGAAGAAGGGUUUCGGCUCGUAAAACUCUGUUGUUAAAGAAGAACAUAUCUGAGAGUAACUGUUCAGGUAUUGACGGUAUUUAACCAGAAAGCCACGGCUAACUACGUGCCAGCAGCCGCGGUAAUACGUAGGUGGCAAGCGUUGUCCGGAUUUAUUGGGCGUAAAGCGAGCGCAGGCGGUUUUUUAAGUCUGAUGUGAAAGCCUUCGGCUCAACCGAAGAAGUGCAUCGGAAACUGGGAAACUUGAGUGCAGAAGAGGACAGUGGAACUCCAUGUGUAGCGGUGAAAUGCGUAGAUAUAUGGAAGAACACCAGUGGCGAAGGCGGCUGUCUGGUCUGUAACUGACGCUGAGGCUCGAAAGUAUGGGUAGCAAACAGGAUUAGAUACCCUGGUAGUCCAUACCGUAAACGAUGAAUGCUAAGUGUUGGAGGGUUUCCGCCCUUCAGUGCUGCAGCUAACGCAUUAAGCAUUCCGCCUGGGGAGUACGGCCGCAAGGCUGAAACUCAAAGGAAUUGACGGGGGCCCGCACAAGCGGUGGAGCAUGUGGUUUAAUUCGAAGCUACGCGAAGAACCUUACCAGGUCUUGACAUACUAUGCAAAUCUAAGAGAUUAGACGUUCCCUUCGGGGACAUGGAUACAGGUGGUGCAUGGUUGUCGUCAGCUCGUGUCGUGAGAUGUUGGGUUAAGUCCCGCAACGAGCGCAACCCUUAUUAUCAGUUGCCAGCAUUAAGUUGGGCACUCUGGUGAGACUGCCGGUGACAAACCGGAGGAAGGUGGGGAUGACGUCAAAUCAUCAUGCCCCUUAUGACCUGGGCUACACACGUGCUACAAUGGAUGGUACAACGAGUUGCGAACUCGCGAGAGUAAGCUAAUCUCUUAAAGCCAUUCUCAGUUCGGAUUGUAGGCUGCAACUCGCCUACAUGAAGUCGGAAUCGCUAGUAAUCGCGGAUCAGCAUGCCGCGGUGAAUACGUUCCCGGGCCUUGUACACACCGCCCGUCACACCAUGAGAGUUUGUAACACCCAAAGUCGGUGGGGUAACCUUUUAGGAACCAGCCGCCUAAGGUGGGACAGAUGAUUAGGGUG
rnacentral:rRNA from 8 species